CUGAUGACCGAUAGUGAAGCAGUACCGUGAGGGAAAGGUGAAAAGAACCCCGGGAGGGGAGUGAAAUAGAACCUGAAACCGUGUGCCUACAACCGGUCAAAGCCCCAUACGAGGGUGAUGACGUGCUUUUUGUAGAACGAGCCAACGAGUUACGGUAUGUAGCAAGGUUAAGUACUUAAGGUACGGAGCCGAAGGGAAACCGAGUCUUAAUAGGGCGA
rnacentral:rRNA from 1 species